AUUGAACGCUAGCGGCAGGCCUAACACAUGCAAGUCGAACGAGUGGCGGACGGGUGAGUAAUGUCUGGGAAACUGCCCGAUGGAGGGGGAUAACUACUGGAAACGGUAGCUAAUACCGCAUACCAUCGGAUGAGCCCAAAUGGGAUUAGGUAGUAGGUGGGGUAACGGCUCACCAAGGCGACGAUCCCUAGCUGGUCUGAGAGGAUGACCAGCCACACUGGAACUGAGACACGGCCCGGACUCCUACGGGAGGCAGCAGUGGGGAAUAUUGCACAAUGGGCGCAAGCCUGACGCAGCCAUGCCGCGUGUAUGAAGAAGGCCUUCGGGUUGUAAAGUACUUUCAGCGAGGAGGCGUUACUCGCAGAAGAAGCACCGGCUAACUCCGUGCCAGCAGCCGCGGUAAUAC
rnacentral:rRNA from 1 species